rnacentral:ncRNA from 1 species
UGAUAGAGGCGCGGCUGACAAAAGUAGCUCUCAGCAAACGGCAGGAGACCGGAGAGCGAAAGGGGACGCCGCCGAAGGGUUUAUCAGCUCCCCUGGCUGAUAAAUGCCUGGGCCGUCGGGGAAUACCCGCCGGACUGUCGUCCGCAAGGACGGAGUGCUGUCA